UUUAAAAAUGUAUUUAACAGCAAGCUAUCUAGAGUGUAAAGGAAAGUUCACAGAUGAAAAGAUAGCCUGGACAGUCAUAUGUGGAACAUCCAUACCCAAGGGCACAUGCUUACUGAUAGGAAUCUGUGAACUCUGUGUGUGCCGUGCAGUAAAGCUCUUUAACUAUUUCACAGCAGGGCUGGAACACCCAUGCAGAAGAAUAAAGGCAAGAUGUCGCUGACUUAAGAUUUGGAUACUGACAGAACAACCGUUGUUAUGUAGAAUUGUUGGUGUCCUGCACAAUGUCUGCAAAAAGGAAAGCUGGGGAUGUUUUAGUUCAUAGAAGCAAGUCUACAAUCAAAAUUCUGCCCCAAUGGGUAUUUAUGUACUCCUGUCUGUGCUUCAGAAAAUGUUGAAUUUUGUCUUAAGUAGAAAACCAGUGAAGACCAAUUCAUUAAAAACAACAGCCAUAGGAGAAUGUUGGUUUUGUAUAUCUAAAGUACUCAGUCCUCAGGAAGGCAGGAUGGUCUGCAACUUAAAACAACAACAACAACAACAACAACAACAACAAAAGAAGGGGAAAGAAGAAAAUAAAAAGGGCAUACAGAAAUUGUCCUCCUCAUCAAAAAGGCAUUAGCAGCAUGUCCUUAUGUUUGUGACAUAUUUCGAAGCCACCAAACAAAGCUGAAGCAAAAGCUCAUGGAAGGAUUUGGUGUUAGUUUAUUUUGCCUCAUUUCUUUUUUUGUCUGCUAAAGAGUACAGUAGUCACAUAUGACAACCCUCCUUUACAGACAAGAUUGCCAUCCUAACUUCAUCCAGGUCAUCUAUAACUUAAUGCUCAUGGUGUCUCAAGGCAAGCGUUCUUCACUUUGCUAAGACUUCUCAGAUACUGCAAUGACACCUAAACAACGGUCCAAUAUUAAG
rnacentral:lncRNA from 1 species